UGUCAUUCUAGAUACACUUUCCAGUACAUCUACUAUGUUACGACUUAUCUUACCUUAAUAAUAAGAGCGACGGGCGAUGUGUACAUAUUUUAGAGCUAAAAUCAAAUUAUUUAUCUUUAUAAUUUUACUACCAAAUCCACCUUCAAAAAUUUUUUCAUAAUUUUAUCCGUUUAAAUAAAUUUAUUGUAACCCAUUAUUACUUAAAUAUAAGCUACACCUUGAUCUGAUAUAAAUUUUAAUAAAAAUUAUUGAAUAUUAUUAUUCUUAUAAAAUAUUCUGAUAACGACGGUAUAUAAACUGAUUACAAACUUAAGUAAGGUCCAUCGUGGAUUAUCGAUUACAAAACAGGUUCCUCUGGAUAGACUAAAAUACCGCCAAAUUUUUUAAGUUUCAAGAACUUAUCUAUUACUACUUAGGUAUUUAUAAUUACAUUUUAAAUAAUAGGGUAUCUAAUCC
rnacentral:rRNA from 1 species